rnacentral:lncRNA from 1 species
UAACUUAUCAACACAUGCGGAAUGUCUAUUAGAAUGGCGGACAAUGUGAUCGAUAUUAUUUCAGAUAACUUUAAAUGAAAACCUGAAACACUCUAAAAUAAUAAAACUUUUUUUUCUGAUGAACAUCGUUUACGACAUUGAUAUAAAACUUGGACAAUUUUAAUUGGUUUGGAAAUCAACAUGUUAUACAAUCAAAGCUGCAAACUAUUAAAGUUUUUUGGGACAAGUUACUGCAUAAUGUCCUUCUCGGAAGAAACUGCAACGUCUCCCUUUCCUUUUGAAGGUUCCAUUACUGCAUCCUUUAUAGCAUCUUGGCAUUGUCUCUGCUAUGUCUGGAAGAUCAUGUACCUCAUUAGAUUGGACAUUUUGAUUCUCUUCAUCGACGACCCCAUCUCUUCAAACAAAGUAACAGAAAUUAGAGAAAAUAUUUAAGAAAUAGAAAUUGGAUACUUGUUGUAUUCAUACGCGCUUAAGGAUUAGUCAGACCAAAAAUAAUAAUUGAAAUGGUUUGAGGAGCUUACCCUUCAAUGUUUUCCAUGAUUGAUGU